rnacentral:tRNA from 1 species
AGCCUCUUUAACUCAAUGGUAGAGUAUCGGUCUUGUAAACCGAAGGUUAUCGGUUCGAGUCCGAUAGGAGGCUCCC